AAGAACCUUACCUGCUCUUGACAUCUCCCUGACCGGCAAGUAAUGUUGCCUUUCCUUCGGGACAGGGAUGACAGGUGGUGCAUGGUUGUCGUCAGCUCGUGUCGUGAGAUGUUGGGUUAAGUCCCGCAACGAGCGCAACCCCUAUCUUUAGUAGCCAGCGGUCAGGCCGGGCACUCUAGAGAGACUGCCAGGGAUAACCUGGAGGAAGGUGGGGAUGACGUCAAAUCAUCAUGCCCCUUAUGAGCAGGGCUACACACGUGCUACAAUGGCGUAAACAAAGGGAGGCAGAACCGCGAGGUCGAGCAAAUCCCAAAAAUAACGUCUCAGUUCGGAUUGUAGUCUGCAACUCGACUACAUGAAGCUGGAAUCG
rnacentral:rRNA from 1 species